rnacentral:rRNA from 1 species
GUCUAUGGCCAUAUUACCCUGAACACACCCGAUCUCAUGUGACCUCUUAAGCUAAGGAGGGUUGGGCCUGGUUAGUACUUGGAUGAGAGAAACCCAGAAAAAACAGUGAGACA